GGGGUUAUAGCUCAGGGGUAGAGUACUUGCCUAGUAUGUAUGAAGCACUGAGUUUGAGCCUCCCUCAGCACCA
rnacentral:tRNA from 1 species